GAUGAACGCUAGCUACAGGCUUAACACAUGCAAGUCGAGGGGCAGCAUUUCAGUUUGCUUGCAAACUGGAGAUGGCGACCGGCGCACGGGUGAGUAACACGUAUCCAACCUGCCGAUAACUCGGGGAUAGCCUUUCGAAAGAAAGAUUAAUACCCGAUGGUAUAAUCAGACCGCAUGGUCUUGUUAUUAAAGAAUUUCGGUUAUCGAUGGGGAUGCGUUCCAUUAGGCAGUUGGUGAGGUAACGGCUCACCAAACCUUCGAUGGAUAGGGGUUCUGAGAGGAAGGUCCCCCACAUUGGAACUGAGACACGGUCCAAACUCCUACGGGAGGCAGCAGUGAGGAAUAUUGGUCAAUGGGCGCAGGCCUGAACCAGCCAAGUAGCGUGAAGGAUGACUGCCCUAUGGGUUGUAAACUUCUUUUAUAUGGGAAUAAAGUUUUCCACGUGUGG
rnacentral:rRNA from 1 species